AUUUAAUAUUUUUUUAAAUAAAUAGUGAGCAACAAUGGGUGCCAACUCCAUCUCCCACUAUCUGCAUGAUUGAUUCAGAAUAUAAUAGUACAUUAUUUUCUAAAAGCAAGUAUAACGAGGAAAAAGCAUUGUAAUAGCCAUGAAUUUGCGUCAUUACCCUUGAAAGAGAAUUAAAUGGUUUAAUUUUCCAUUUGUUGCAUAAUUGAUCUCAGGUACAAAUUUCCUUCGUAGAGUGUUUUAAGUCUUCUUCAUAUAAGAAUGAAAAGAAAAGCUAAUGGAAGAACUGAUUUCUUCCUUAUCUAACCCACUUGAAGAGACCUCAUCAGUGACUCCACUAGAACAUGGUGAAGAAGGUUGAGGAGGGCCCAUAUCAGAGUUUUCUUCCAUUCUAAAUUCCAUGAAACUUGAUCUCAUCACAUCAUGUGUAGUUUGAAUAGUGUUGGUGUUUGAGGGCUGAGAAAUGAUAUUCCCGUGUUUUCUAGGUCUCCUUUUCCUCUGAAA
rnacentral:misc_RNA from 1 species